rnacentral:rRNA from 1 species
CCUACGGGAGGCAGCAGUGAGGAAUAUUGGUCAAUGGGCGUAAGCCUGAACCAGCCACGUCGCGUGAGGGAUGAAGGUUCUAUGGAUCGUACACCUCUUUUAUAAGGGAAUAAAGUGUGGGACGUGUCCUAUUUUGUCUGUACCUUAUGAAUAAGGAUCGGCUAACUCCGUGCCAGCAGCCGCGGUAAUACGGAGGAUCCGAGCGUUAUCCGGAUUUAUUGGGUUUAAAGGGUGCGUAGGCGGCCUUUUAAGUCAGCGGUGAAAGUCUGUGGGUCAACCAUGGAAUUGCCGUUGAUACUGGUGGGCUUGAGUAGGUAGGAGGCAGGCGGAAUGCGUGGUGUAGCGGUGAAAUGCGUAGAUAUCACGCAGAACCCCGAUUGCGAAGGCAGCCUGCCAAGCCAUGACUGACGCUGAGGCACGAAAGCGUGGGGAUCAAACAGGAUUAGAUACCCUGGUAGUC